rnacentral:pre_miRNA from 1 species
AAUCCAGGGGAAACACUUCCGCCGCCGAGAUAGGUUACGGAAACCAGUGUUCGGGAAGGCUUCUGCUACAUU